UGGGGGAGGAAGUGGCCAGUUUAGGGCCCCAGGGGGGAGAUGACAGGCUUAGAUGAGACUCGAGGGGGUUGGGGUAUGAGGACCAGGAAGGUUAAAGAGGAAGCUAGAUUUGGGGGAACCUAUGGUGGAGAGAGUUGCCUUGAAAGGCCCCGCAGUGACCUAGGGGAGGACAGCCUUCUAGGCCAGGCUGUCGCUGCCUCCUGGAGGACAGGAACCUGACCUUCAGGAAGGCCCUGCUCCUGCGUGGGCUGAGCGAGCCCCUGUGCCGUGGUUUGGGUGGAGGGAAGAGGAGAGCAGGAGCCAGAGAACAGGAUCUCAGCCCCCUUGCUGGAGAGAAAGCGGAGUUGAGCAUUUGGUUCCCUGCGAAUGAUCAGGAAGGAAGGCAGGGGGCGGGGAGCAGGGCCCAAGGAGGGCUGGGAGGGCAGACUUUGAACUUGUCAAUGUCAGCAGCCCCCUUUUUUUUCAGAGGGUUGCCAGCCCGCAUGGGGAUGAGGCCUGAUCUUGUGGAUACUGAACUUAGCUCUGCGGGCCUGACAGCUCUGGCCCAGGGUGGUGGCAGUGCUCCCCUUUGGACUUUUUUCCUCUAGGUUCGGUGUUAACUUCUGUGAGCUCACUCUGCCCUUCCUCCUCCCUUUAACUCUCUCAAGGUUAUCCAUCCGCUUAAAACAUUGCUUCUGGUAACCUGGUAAGCCUGGGGACUUGGCAAAGGCCUUGAGAAGUUCGGUUAUGUCGGUAAUCUCGUGGAGGAGGACAGGCACUCCCUGCUGAGGGUGGGGUGGUCUUGCUUGCCUGCGGAGAGGGUGGGGACUGAAUGUGCACCCUUGGGUGGGCCUGUGGCGAUGGCACCACCCGAAAGUUUCGAAAUGCUUCAUGGACCGUGGUUUGUUACCAUAGCGUUCAUCGCGGUGAUCAGAUGGCACCAGGAGAAAAGGAGCCCAUGGCCAGUGUGAGUCGUAGCAGUGCAGGAGGGGAGACCCUGAAGCAGAGAGCCCGCCUAAGUUGAUGUCUGCAGAUUGAAUUUCCAGAGGCUUAGGAGGUGGAAGUUGCUCCGGUGUCCUGUGUCCAGGCCUUGCUCAGGAAGCCCUGUAUUCAGGAGGCCACCACUUAAGGUUUUCAGAUGAGCUCUUGGGGGAGGGCGAUCAAAGUCCACAGCAGAUGCAUCGGGCCCUCGGCAGAUCUGUUGCUUUGAAUGUUUGAUCCCGGAGCACCAACCCGCAGGCACCCCACCUUUUCUGGGGGUGGAGGUUUUCCGAUGCCGCAUCUUCUAAAUUCGAGCCUUCGGUCAUUGCUAGUUCUGGGCUACGAACCUUGCUUCAAGAAGAUUCUUAAGCUGUAGGACAUUGUAACGUGCCACACGCAGAGUCCUGCCUUGUACGUGAAUCUUGCAGACGGAGCCCAGUGACUUGCUCACCUACCCACGUGCCUGCUGCCUGCCUUGUUUGGAGGAAUUAGUGUGAUGUGUGAUGGUCUAACUUGUGUCUGGGGAGAGUGUUCGAAAUGCCUUGAGCAAAUGCUUAAAUGAAGCCUACUGGCAAAAUAAAGGGGCGGGGGGUGUCAUUGUGUUACGCUACAGUCUGGGGGUGGAUCCAAGUUGGUUGUGGCCAAAUUCUGUUAGAAAUGGCAGGUGUUUGGGCCUUCCGAUGGCAUCACCAGUAACAGGGGAAUGGUUGGGGUACUACUAGUAAUCUUUUGAUUCUUCCGUGUAUUUUUUAAAUGAAUUUUGGUUGAUUUAAUUUCAAAUCUUCAAAUGGUGCUCGCUUCGGCAGCACAUAUACAAAGUAAUCUUCAAAUGGAGGACUCAUCUGAGGGGUGAGGGUUAGGGGGCACACCUUGGCAUUGGUACUGGCAGGUGUGA